rnacentral:ncRNA from 1 species
AUCGGUUCUCCGUUGAGGAGAUUAAUAGGGAAUCGGGUGUGAAUCCUGAACAGUCCCGCUGCUGUGAGUCGUCCUUUAUGGCACAAACAGACAAGUCACUGAGAUUAUUGGGAAGACGUUUGUGGCCAGACGAUAAGUCAGAAGACCUGCCGAUGAAGA